UACGGAGGGUGCAAGCGUUGUCCGGAUUUAUUGGGUUUAAAGGGUGCGUAGGUGGCUUAUUAAGUCAGUGUUUAAAGUCUGCAGCUUAACUGUAGGUAUGGCAUUGAUACUGAUAGGCUUGAGUAAAGUUGAGGUAGGCGGAAUUGAAGGUGUAGCGGUGAAAUGCAUAGAUAUCUUCAAGAACACCGAUUGCGAAGGCAGCUUACUAAGCUUUAACUGACACUGAGGCACGAAAGCGUGGGGAUCAAACAGG
rnacentral:rRNA from 1 species